AUGAACGCUGGCGGCGUGCCUAAUCCAUGCAAGUCGAGCGAACGGACGAGAAGCUUGCUUCUCUGAUGUUAGCGGCGGACGGGUGAGUAACACGUGGAUAACCUACCUAUAAGACUGGGAUAACUUCGGGAAACCGUAGCUAAUACCGGAUAAUAUUUUGAACCGCAUGGUUCAAAAGUGAAAGACGGUCUUGCUGUCACUUAUAGAUGGAUCCGCGCUGCAUUAGCUAGUUGGUAAGGUAACGGCUUACCAAGGCAACGAUGCAUAGCCGACCUGAGAGGGUGAUCGGCCACACUGGAACUGAGACACGGUCCAGACUCCUACGGGAGGCAGCAGUAGGGAAUCUUCCGCAAUGGGCGAAAGCCUGACGGAGCAACGCCGCGUGAGUGAUGAAGGUCUUCGGAUCGUAAAACUCUGUUAUUAGGGAAGAACAUAUGUGUAAGUAACUGUGCACAUCUUGACGGUACCUAAUCAGAAAGCCACGGCCAACUACGUG
rnacentral:rRNA from 1 species